rnacentral:rRNA from 1 species
AUUGAACGCUGGCGGCAGGCCUAACACAUGCAAGUCGAACGAGCGGCGGACGGGUGAGUAAUGUAUGGGAAUCUGCCCGCUGGAGGGGGAUAACUACUGGAAACGGUAGCUAAUACCGCAUACCAUCGGAUGAGCCCAGAUGGGAUUCGCUAGUAGGUGGGGUAACGGCUCACCUAGGCGACGAUCCCUAGCUGGUCUGAGAGGAUGACCAGCCAAACGGGAACUGAGACACGGUCCAGACGCCUAUGGGAGGCAGCAGGGGGGAAUAGUGCACAAUGGGCGCAAGCCUGAUGCAGCCAUGCCGCGUGUAGGAAGAAGGCUUUCGGGUUGAAAAGUACUUUCAGCGGGGAGGCGUUACUCGCAGAAGAAGCACCGGCUAACUCCGUGCCAGCAGCCGCGGUAAUAC